rnacentral:tRNA from 1 species
UCGGGUAUGGUGUAGUGGCUAACAUCGCUGACUCUCACUCAGCAGCCCGGGGUUCGAUUCCCUGUUCCCGAG